ACUCGUAGUUGAAUUUCGGGAUCAAUUAUUGGUCGUGCUAUUGUACGUACUGGUAUUAUUGAUUCCUACCUUCUGACGAACCAUGAUGUCAUUAAUUUGGUGUCAUGGGGAAUCAGGACUGUUACUUUGAAAAAAUUAGAGUGUUUAAAGCAGGCUCACGCUUGAAUACAUUAGCAUGGAAUAACGGAAUAGGACGUUUGAUUUUUAUUUUGUUGGUUUCUAGGAUCGACGUAAUGAUUAAUAGGGAUAGUUGGGGGCAUUAGUAUUCAAUUGUCAGAGGUGAAAUUUCUUGGAUUUAUUGAAGACUAACUACUGCGAAAGCAUUUUCCAAGGAUGUUUUCAUUAAUCAAGAACGAAAGUUGGGGGCUUGAAGACGAUCAGAUACCGUCCUAGUCUCAACCAUAAAAGAUUCUGGCACCUUAUG
rnacentral:rRNA from 1 species